UUGGGACAAACUUUAUAAAAAUUCAGGUUUUAAGUGGGGAAUAUGUAUAUGUCGACAUAUACAUAUGCACAGAAAGAAGAAAAAGAAGUUUUCCCCACAACUCUCUAAAUCAAGGCAAUUGAAGAAGGAUUUGAAGCUAAAAUCAAUGCAUGAAUGAAGAUCCUUCACCAUCUAGCUUUAAUAGACAUGUGGUUGCACGAAAUUAACAUCAUUAUGGAGUCUAAGAGGUUGAAGACCGAGUCAAAGAGCAAGGAUUGUACGGGAAGAGCAGUCACAUGACUUGUAUUUAUAUAGUACAUUUGAUGCGUUAAUUAAGAAUGAAGGUUGUAAAUCUUUUCAAGAAAGUGUUUGACAUUUUAGAAAUGAACCUCCAAGUAUGUAAUAUCGAUAAGAAAGAAAGAAUUUUUGAGUCGGUA